UGUCUAACGUAAAAGGUACUAUUGUCCCAUUAGCCACAAGAGCAACAAUCCACUUAGAGGACUGCACAGAAUCCUCAAUAGACACACCUUUUGCCUCGGCCAGAGUUGUAUCCUCUUCAGAAACCAUCUGCACGUAAAAGGAAUCACUCAAGAUAUGGCAUCGAUGGCUGCGGCUGCAUUCGGAGAGGACAUCGCUGAAGAAACAUCAAACUGCAUCACUUGCUGUCUCGCUAAUUCGCUGGACUGGCACAAUUCAACAGCAUGAUCCAAGCUGCAGACUGAGGAAGAUCCUGAAACACACCAG